rnacentral:rRNA from 1 species
GACGACGCUGGCGGCGUGCUUAAUACAUGCAAGUCGAGCGAGGUUACUGUUUUGGAUCCCUUCGGGGUGAAGAAGCUUUAACCUAGCGGCGGACGGGUGAGUAACGCGUGGGUAACCUACCCCAAAGUCCGGGAUAACAGCGGGAAACCGCUGCUAAUACCGGAUGCCUUUACCUUGGGGCAUCUUGAGGUAAAGAAAGGUAACGCUUUGGGAUGGGCCCGCGUCCCAUUAGCUAGUUGGUGAGGUAACGGCUCACCAAGGCGACGAUGGGUAGCCGGCCUGAGAGGGUGGACGGCCACACUGGGACUGAGACACGGCCCAGACUCCUACGGGAGGCAGCAGUAGGGAAUAUUGCGCAAUGGACGGAAGUCUGACGCAGCGACGCCGCGUGAGCGAUGAAGGUCUUCGGAUCGUAAAGCUCUGUCCUUGGGGAAGAAGGUCUUCGGACUUGACGGUACCCAAGAAGAAAGCCCCGGCUAACUACGUG